rnacentral:siRNA from 1 species
CUGAAAUCCUUAGCGUGAAACACU